GUGUCAGCUCGUGUCGUGAGAUGUUGGGUUAAGUCCCGCAACGAGCGCAACCCUUGCCAUCAGUUGCUACGAAAGGGCACUCUGAUGGGACUGCCGGUGACAAACCGGAGGAAGGUGGGGAUGACGUCAAGUCCUCAUGGCCCUUAUAGGUGGGGCUACACACGUCAUACAAUGGCCGGUACAAAGGGCAGCCAACCCGCGAGGGGGAGCCAAUCCCAUAAAGCCGGUCGUAGUCCGGAUCGCAGUCUGCAACUCGACUGCGUGAAGUCGGAAUCGCUAGUAAUCGUGGAUCAGCAUGUCACGGUGAAUACGUUCCCGGGUCUU
rnacentral:rRNA from 1 species